AGAUUGAACGCUAGCGGGAUGCUUUACACAUGCAAGUCGAACGGCAGCGCGGACUUCGGUCUGGCGGCGAGUGGCGAACGGGUGAGUAAUAUAUCGGAACGUGCCCAGUAGCGGGGGAUAACUACGCGAAAGCGUGGCUAAUACCGCAUACGCCCUACGGGGGAAAGGGGGGAUUCUUCGGAACCUCUCACUAUUGGAGCGGCCGAUAUCAGAUUAGCUAGUUGGUGAGGUAAAGGCUCACCAAGGCCGCGAUCUGUAGCUGGUUUGAGAGGACGACCAGCCACACUGGGACUGAGACACGGCCCAGACUCCUACGGGAGGCAGCAGUGGGGAAUAUUGGACAAUGGGCGAAAGCCUGAUCCAGCCAUGCCGCGUGUGUGAAGAAGGUCUUCGGAUUGUAAAGCACUUUAAGUUGGAGAAGGCAUUAACCUAAUACGUUAGUGUUUUGACGUUACCGACAGAAUAAGCACCGGCUAACUCUGUGCCAGCAGCCACGGU
rnacentral:rRNA from 1 species